UCCAUAGGUUAAUGAGGCGAACCGGGGGAACUGAAACAUCUAAGUACCCCGAGGAAAAGAAAUCAACCGAGAUUCCCCCAGUAGCGGCGAGCGAACGGGGAGGAGCCCAGAGCCUGAAUCAGUGUGUGUGUUAGUGGAAGCGUCUGGAAAGGCGCGCGAUACAGGGUGACAGCCCCGUACACAAAAAUACACAUAUUGUGAGCUCGACGAGUAGGGCGGGACACGUGGUAUCCUGUCUGAAUAUGGGGGGACCAUCCUCCAAGGCUAAAUACUCCUGACUGACCGAUAGUGAACCAGUACCGUGAGGGAAAGGCGAAAAGAACCCCGGCGAGGGGAGUGAAAAAGAACCUGAAACCGUGUACGUACAAGCAGUGGGAGCACGCUUAGGCGUGUGACUGCGUACCUUUUGUAUAAUGGGUCAGCGACUUAUAUUCUGUAGCAAGGUUAACCGAAUAGGGGAGCCGAAGGGAAACCGAGUCUUAACUGGGCGUUAAGUUGCAGGGUAUAGACCCGAAACCCGGUGAUCUAGCCAUGGGCAGGUUGAAGGUUGGGUAACACUAACUGGAGGACCGAACCGACUAAUGUUGAAAAAUUAGCGGAUGACUUGUGGCUGGGGGUGAAAGGCCAAUCAAACCGGGAGAUAGCUGGUUCUCCCCGAAAGCUAUUUAGGUAGCGCCUCGUGAAUUCAUCUCCGGGGGUAGAGCACUGUUUCGGCAAGGGGGUCAUCCCGACUUACCAACCCGAUGCAAACUGCGAAUACCGGAGAAUGUUAUCACGGGAGACACACGGCGGGUGCUAACGUCCGUCGUGAAGAGGGAAACAACCCAGACCGCCAGCUAAGGUCCCAAAGUCAUGGUUAAGUGGGAAACGAUGUGGGAAGGCCCAGACAGCCAGGAUGUUGGCUUAGAAGCAGCCAUCAUUUAAAGAAAGCGUAAUAGCUCACUGGUCGAGUCGGCCUGCGCGGAAGAUGUAACGGGGCUAAACCAU
rnacentral:rRNA from 1 species